UUCCUCUAAUAUGAUAUAAGACAUUAAAAGGAGGCUUAUUUUCUAUUGUACUGUGUUAUAGACUACCCUUCAGCUUUGGCAUCCUCAUAUGGAACAGAGGGGGUAAGAUAUAGGACCUGAUGGCCUAGGCCACAAACAGAGAAAUACUGUGUUUGCUGGAGUAAACUGAGAGACUAUGGCAUUCUGAAGGCCAGUUUGAUAAGUGAUAGCUUCUGGCAGCAGCAUAGCUGCUACAAGCAAUGGACACUUUUUGAGAGCCAAAUGCUGAGGGUAAAUUGCAAAAAAGACUCAACUCUGCUAUUCAAAUGGACUACAGUUUAAUAAGAAGAGACUGCCAGUGGCAAAAGAGUAUAAUAUGUGCUACGGAUCUCUCAGCGGUUAAAGCUCAGAUGGAACCCCCUUAUGAAAUAUCCACAAGAUGCUGCUGAGGUGCUCAAGAACUUGUCUGCAGUCCUUGCCUAAGCAGGUUUUCCAACCAAACAAAAACAUCUGCAUGCUGACUUCGAACUUAGUAAAGUCUCAUGUAGAUGGUGAUCAUCAUGACAGAAGUGAUUUUUUUCUCAUUCCUUUUGUGUAUCUCUGAAGUUCCUACUCUGGGCCUUUAACCUAGCACUGUCAUCACCAAACUGUCAGUCCUUGAUUAUCAUCAAUGGUGGAACAACCCUGCCCCAGCUUAUGACAGCAACAAAUUGAGACUCAUCCUUCAGUUAUGUGCACGUAAAUUAUCUAUGCUACCUGAAAGAUUAUUUUUUCACUUACCAAGGUUUUAGCAACUCUAAUUAACGUAUAAUGUUUAGUCUAGAUAUCCAUCUAGAUAUCCAUCAAUUGACUUAACUGAAUUUUAGCUAUCCGAUUGCCUAAAUAAACUUGAUAUAUAACUAUUGUAUAGUCAGAUAAGAAUUUUUAACAUUAAUGAAGAAUUGUUUAAUGGACAAUAACAGUCCCAUUAUUUAAACACUAAAAAGCUAAGUGCUACAGUCAAAAAUUAAACUAAGCUAUUUCUUGAAUUAUUAAUCUAUUUCCACUUAGAUGUCCUCCUUAGAACAUUUUAUAAUCUGAAACACUUGUGACUGUUUUAUGAUUGUUAAAUUUUUACUGAAGGAGUUAAAGCAUUUUCUGCCUAAUACACCUACAAAAAUAACCUUAUUUAACUUGACAAACACAGUCCAAUACAUAUUUAAGCUAUUUUGAAAAUAAUGGAAAAAUCUUAUUAAUAACUGUUUUCUCUUGUGGGGUGUGGUGAAUAGUAAUUUAGGGCAGGUGAGAGCAAAGCAAUUUAACUUUUCCCUUGUUAGUUCCUUUGACCUACAAGUUUGGAGGUCUCUGCAGCACCCUUGAGCUUUUUCCACAGAAUAAAGUAAUAGUUGCUAAGACUUUGCCAAAAAAUAAAAAAAUAAAAAACUAUCUGUUUUGCUGUUAGGUUCUGCCUCUAUCUUGUUCAGGUAUUUCUUGUAUUAUUUCUA
rnacentral:lncRNA from 1 species